UACGGAGGAUGCGAGCGUUAUCCGGAUUUAUUGGGUUUAAAGGGUGCGUAGGCGGGCUUUUAAGUCAGCGGUAAAAAUUCGGGGCUCAACCCCGUCCGGCCGUUGAAACUGGGGGUCUUGAGUGGGCGAGAAGAAGGCGGAAUGCGUGGUGUAGCGGUGUAAUGCAUAGAUAUCACGCAGAACCCCGAUUGCGAAGGCAGCCUUCCGGCGCCCUACUGACGCUGAGGCACGAAAGUGCGGGGAUCGAACAGG
rnacentral:rRNA from 1 species